UAUACAUGCAAGUCGAGCGAAUGGAUUGAGAGCUUGCUCUCAAGAAGUUAGCGGCGGACGGGUGAGUAACACGUGGGUAACCUGCCCAUAAGACUGGGAUAACUCCGGGAAACCGGGGCUAAUACCGGAUAACAUUUUGAACUGCAUGGUUCGAAAUUGAAAGGCGGCUUCGGCUGUCACUUAUGGAUGGACCCGCGUCGCAUUAGCUAGUUGGUGAGGUAACGGCUCACCAAGGCAACGAUGCGUAGCCGACCUGAGAGGGUGAUCGGCCACACUGGGACUGAGACACGGCCCAGACUCCUACGGGAGGCAGCAGUAGGGAAUCUUCCGCAAUGGACGAAAGUCUGACGGAGCAACGCCGCGUGAGUGAUGAAGGCUUUCGGGUCGUAAAACUCUGUUGUUAGGGAAGAACAAGUGCUAGUUGAAUAAGCUGGCACCUUGACGGUACCUAACCAGAAAGCCACGGCUAACUACGUGCCAGCAGCCGCGGUAAUACGUAGGUGGCAAGCGUUAUCCGGAAUUAUUGGGCGUAAAGCGCGCGCAGGUGGUUUCUUAAGUCUGAUGUGAAAGCCCACGGCUCAACCGUGGAGGGUCAUUGGAAACUGGGAGACUUGAGUGCAGAAGAGGAAAGUGGAAUUCCAUGUGUAGCGGUGAAAUGCGUAGAGAUAUGGAGGAACACCAGUGGCGAAAGCGACUUUCUGGUCUGUAACUGACACUGAGGCGCGAAAGCGUGGGGAG
rnacentral:rRNA from 1 species